GGUUUAGGUCUCGUUGGUGACCAGCGGAGGGAUCAUUACUGAGUUACCGCUCUACAACCCUUUGUGAACAUACCUAACCGUUGCUUCGGCGGGCAGGGGAAGCCUCUCGCGGGCGACCCCUCCCGGCGCCGGCCCCAUCACGGGGGCGGAGCGCCCGCCGGAGGAAACCAAACUCUAUUUACACGACGUCUCUUCUGAGUGGCACAAGCAAAUAAUUAAAACUUUUAACAACGGAUCUCUUGGUUCUGGCAUCGAUGAAGAACGCAGCGAAAUGCGAUAAGUAAUGUGAAUUGCAGAAUUCAGUGAAUCAUCGAAUCUUUGAACGCACAUUGCGCUCGCCAGCAUUCUGGCGAGCAUGCCUGUUCGAGCGUCAUUUCAACCCUCAAGCACCGCUUGGUUUUGGGGCCCCACGGCCGACGUGGGCCCUUAAAGGUAGUGGCGGACCCUCCCGGAGCCUCCUUUGCGUAGUAACUAACGUCUCGCACUGGGAUCCGGAGGGACUCUUGCCGUUAAACCCCCAAAUUUUUUCAGGUUGACCUCGGAUCAGGUAGGACUACCCGCUGAACUUAAGCAUAUCAAA
rnacentral:rRNA from 1 species